UUGACGGUACCGGGUGAGGAAGCACCGGCUAACUCCGUGCCAGCAGCCGCGGUAAUACGGAGGGUGCAAGCGUUGUCCGGAAUCACUGGGCGUAAAGGGCGCGUAGCGGCUCAUAAAGGCUUGUGGUGAAAGUUCGGGGCUCAACCUCGAAUCGGCCGUGGCGACUUGUGGGCUGGAGCACUGUAGAGGCAGGUGGAAUUCCGGGUGUAGCGGUGCAAUGCGUAGAGAUCCGGAAGAACACCAGUGGCGAAGGCGGCCUGCUGGGCAGUGGCUGACGCUGAGGCGCGACAGCGUGGGGAGCAAACAGGAUUAGAUACCCUGGUAGUCCACGCCGUAAACGAUGGGCACUAGGUGCUUGGGGGAGCGACCCUCUGAGUGCCGGCGCUAACGCAUUAAGUGCCCCGCCUGGGGAGUACGGCCGCAAGGCUGAAACUCAAAGGAAUUGACGGGGGCCCGCACAAGCAGUGGAGCAUGUGGUUUAAUUCGACGCAACGCGAAGAACCUUACCUAGGCUUGACAUACACGAGAAACCCUCGAGAAACCGAGG
rnacentral:rRNA from 1 species